rnacentral:rRNA from 1 species
AUGGGGAUGAGGGCGCUCGUCUCGGGCCAGCCGGCGCUGCUAUGCCCGAGGCCAUCGUCCCUGAGCAGCAGGGCUAGGAGAGCACCGGGCGCCGCUUCUGCCUCCGCAUCCGCAUCCCCUUCUUCUUCCUCCUCCUCCCCAUGGCCAUCCCUAUCCAGGCUGGGAACCACCAUCCCCAAGCACGCCGAGCGCCUGCUUCCUCUUCCUGGGCUCGAUUUCAGAAGGCGGCGCACCGUUCCCCCUAGGCUCCACGCGCUGCCUCUGCCUCAGCCUCAGCCUCUGCCUCAGGAUGAUGCUCUUGAAAAGGAGGAGGAGGAGGAGGAGGACAAUGCUCUCUUGCUCAGCGGCAGCCUUUAUCCUGGGACUGUUAGCAUUGAGCUCAUUCUUCUAGCCCUGCCUGCAGUCUUAGGCCAGGCCAUCGACCCCAUGGCGCAACUCAUGGAGACCGCGUAUAUCGGCAAAUUAGGGGCUCUGGAGCUAGCGUCUGCUGGUAUUGGUGUCGCUAUUUUCAACAUCCUAUCCAAGAUUUUCAACAUCCCCUUGUUGAGGAUAGCAACCUCAUUUGUGGCUGAGGAUAUUUCCAAGAAUGCUAGCAAGCAUUAUACUUCAGGCAAACUGGAGAUGCCAUCUGUGUCUUCUGCUUUGGUUUUAGCUGCUGCUAUUGGUACAAUUGAAGCAUUGGCAUUGUUCCUCGGAUCAGGAUUGUUUCUUAAACUAAUGGGCGUCUCACCUGUCUCUCCGAUGUAUGCUUCUGCGCGGCUCUUUCUUUCGCUGAGAGCCUUAGGAGCACCUGCAAAUGUGAUUAUGUUAGCAGUACAGGGUAUCUUUCGCGGAUUCAAGGAUACCAAGACUCCCGUACUUUUUAUAGGUUUGGGGAAUCUUUCAGCUGUGGUCCUUCUUCCUCUACUUAUAUAUGGUUUUAAGCUUGGUAUAACAGGAGCCGCAAUUUCUACAAUCGCAUCCCAGUACAUUAUUGCCAUUUUGCUUAUGUGGUCUCUAAGUAAAAGAGCUGUUCUGCUUCCUCCAAAGAUGGACCAGUUAGAGUUCGGUGGAUAUUUAAAAUCUGGUGGCAUGCUAUUGGGAAGAACCCUCUCAAUUCUGUUAACUAUGACCAUUGGUACAUCAAUGGCUGCUCGACAAGGCCCAACAGCUAUGGCUGCUCAUCAGAUUUGUUUGCAAGUAUGGCUUGCUGUAUCUCUGCUUGCAGACGCUUUAGCAGUUUCUGCCCAGGCUCUGAUUGCAAGCUCUUAUGCAAUACUGGACUACACAAGAGUCCAGAAGGUUGCGAUGUUUGCUCUGCAGAUAGGACUAGCUAGCGGGUUAGCUUUGGCAGUUGGCCUGUAUAUCUCAUUUGGCAGCAUAGCAAAGCUAUUUACCAAUGACCCUCAGAUCCUAGCGGCUGUGAGCUCCUGUGCAUUGUUUGUCUGUGCCAGUCAACCAGUUAAUGCCUUGGCAUUCAUCUUUGAUGGUCUCCAUUAUGGCAUCUCAGAUUUUAACUAUGUCGCUCAAGCUACAAUUGUGGUUGGGGUGAUAUCAUCGUUGGUCUUGUUAUAUGCUCCACAUGUGUUUGGUCUGGCCGGAGUUUGGGCUAGUUUGACAACACUCAUGGGAUUGCGCAUGGCUGCAGGCAUCCUGAGGUUGCUAUGGAAAUCAGAACCUUGGUCAUUUUUGCACGAGGAACCAAAAACCAAGUUGCGGGCGCAGCCAGUUGCAUCAUAA